UAUUGAUCCAUCAUCUGUUCAUUGAUUGACACUUUGAUGAUGACUCCUGACAUGAUGAAGAUGGUUGAAUGUGUGCUGCUUUGUUUUCAUGAAUCCCAUUAAAAACACACUUACACUUCCUCAGACCUGGUCUCAACCAUCGGACUCCAGCAGGCUCCACCCUGAAAGGAGGAGGGGUCAGAGCAGCACAGUCAGCAUGCACACAUGGACAUUACAUGGCUCUCACACACACACUGUUACACACUGAGCUCAAAGCUCGGCUCCACUGUUUGAUUCAAAGAAAUCUACAUUUAUUUAUCAGCACAUUUAAAAACAGCUUGAGCCAAAGUGCUGCACAGAGUAGAGAUAAAAUAGGAAACAUACACAGUAAUUACUAUAAAGACUCGUCAGAAUUGAAAGCUACAGAGUACAAAUGUGUUUCCAACCGGGUUUUAAAAAUGUCGAGUGUUGGUGACGACCUGAUGUGAAGGGCGACUGUUCCAGAGUUUGGCUGCAGCCAUCGAUAAAGCUCACCUCUGUUUUUACGGCUAGUUCUGGUCAGAAGCUACUUAUCUGCAGACCUGAGGGCUCGACUUGGAUUAUUUUUGUUAAAGAGAGAUAAGAUGGAGCCAAUCCACUCAGAGAUUUAAAGACAAACAACAAGAUCUGGAAGUGGAUUCUACGACGUACUGGUAACCAGUGGGAAAAGCUGGAAAAAGCUGGUGUUGAGAUUAGGGAAAAUAUUUUGCUGCUAUUUUUAUAAUCAUCAUUACCAUUCCAUUAAUAACAGUAUUGAUAUUGCAUUCAGAUGUUCAAACAUCUAAAACUCAGUUUAUUGGAGAAGCAACAUGGCGCCUGUGUUCGGCUUGGCCGCUGUUGCUGCUCCGUGUUUUCGUCGACUGCUUCAGUAUAUUGUUUUUUAUCUUGUCAUCUCAUCCGUGAUAUAUCAUGAAGGUCUAUUUGCUACUCGGAUCUACAGUUCACAUACAUUGUUGAGUAUCAAAAUAUGUAUGGAAAAAACUUUUGACAGCUGGCAGAGCUACCACCAGGCUUUCCCUCCGCCGUUUGUCUGCCCCCCUCCCUCUCCCGACUACAGGUAUCUGUUCUUAGCUCCAAACAAUAACCCAGGAGCAAAAAUAAGGUUAAGGAGAUCGUGUAGAAGGGGCUGUAGGUCUGGUGUCCAGGCUAAAAGGAAACACGACCGACAGAGGGGAUUUCCUCCGCUCCAUGGUAGAGAACGUCUCCGGUAUUUGGUACCGGUUCCCCUGCAGGACGCGGAUAAGGCCGAUCGGUUACCGCCUACUCGGCUUUUCAUCACGGGCGAACAGAACGAUUACCUGGAUCGGUGUCUUGUCUGGAGAUGCGGGAUGUUUUCACCUUGGCCUUUCAUUCUACAAGACCACAGUUCCACAGCUAGGGGUACCGGGAGACUACGUCCUCUUUCCAGGUGUCUGCUGUCAAUUCCCCGUCAAUCAGCUGUUGAUGACGUCAGCCUGUCACCUCCGCUUCAGAUCGCUCUCCUAAACGCUCGCUCCAUAGCCAACAAAUCAUUUGUACUGAAUGACUUUUUUAGCAGUAAUAGUCUGGACUUCAUGUUUCUCACGGAAUCUUGGCAGCAGGAGAAUGAAUUUAUCCACCUUAAUGAGCUCUGCCCGGUCGGCUGUCGCUUCAUCGGGACUCCGCGCUUGGACCGUCGUGGUGGUGGUCUGGUCACCGUUCACCGAGACAAUCUCGCUUGCAGGACUAUGGACUCUGAGUUUUUCCCUUCCUUUGAGUCACAACUUCUUAAGGAAACAAACAGGAAGUGAUUGAAGGACACAGGAAAUGUUUCCAGCUCUUCCUACUCUAUCAGACAUUCUCUCCAUACCUGAGAGUGUCCAGUCUCCAGCCUUGAUCCUUC
ensembl:lncRNA